rnacentral:rRNA from 1 species
UACAGAGGGUGCGAGCGUUAAUCGGAAUUACUGGGCGUAAAGCGUGCGUAGACGGUUGCAUAAGUCGGAUGUGAAAUCCCCGGGCUCAACCUGGGAAUUGCAUUCGAGACUGUGUAGCUGGGGUGCGGAAGAGGGAAGCGGAAUUUCCGGUGUAGCGGUGAAAUGCGUAGAUAUCGGAAGGAACAUCAGUGGCGAAAGCGGCUUCCUGGUCCAGCACAGACGUUCAGGCGCGAAAGCGUGGGGAGCAAACAGG